GCCGGAGAGUCUUCAACUGACGCUGACGCUCGAAAGUGCGGGUAUAGCACAGGAUUAGAUCCCCUUGUUGUCCGCACUAUAAACGAUGGAUUCCCGCUGGUGGCGACACACUGUCAGCGCACAAGAGAAAGCGAUAAGCAUCACACCGGGAGAGUACGCGGGGCAACGGUGAAACUCAAAGGAAUUGACGGGGGCCCGCACAAGCGGAAGAACAUGUGGUUUAAUUCGAUGAUACGCGAGGAACCUUACCCGCUCUUGAACUGCAGCAGAACGAUAGAGAGAUCUUGAGGCCCUUCGGGGCUGCUGUGGAGGUGCUGCAUGGUGGUCGUCAGCUCGUGCCUUGAGGUGUCGGCUUAAGUGCCAUAACGAGCCAAACCCCUUCCUUCAGUUGCCUUCACUUUGGGUGGGCACUCUGGCGGUACUGCCACCGUAAGGUGUGAGGAAGGUGGGGAUGACGUCAAAUCAGCACGGCCCUUACGUCCGGGGCGACACACGUGUUACAAUGGCUGGUACAGAGAGUCACUCGCCGGCAACGUCGGUUUGAUCAAGAAAACCCUCCUCAGUUCGGACUGGGGUCUGCAACUCGACCCCAUGAAGCUG
rnacentral:rRNA from 1 species